GCCGGUCACUAAGGUAUAGAUACGGGUUGUUGGGUUGUGUUGUGGGUCUAAUCUAUAUAUCUUAUAGAAAGACAUCAGUGUGUGUAGCGCAAGGUUGGUGUAGGACUUGCCAUGCUGAAUGCUGGUGGAGACAACACCGCAUUGGGCAUCUGGAGCAGAUGGUACAGGAAUUAUUGAUGAAUGAUAUGAGAUACAAGUUGACACUCUCCAUCCAUCAUCCCCUGGAACCAGUGCCAUAGGCCGGAAAUCCCCAACUACAGAAGAGCAAAGUAUAGUGAUUCCCAGGGACCAGAUGUCACACUGGAAAAGAAGACACCAAAGAGCAUUAGAAGGAGAGAGUUGGGUUAGCGGGUGAGUCAGUUACUUAUUACUGGGUGGGUUCUAUCGUCAGUGCUUGCAUACAAUGAAUGGAAAACACAGAACCAAUUAGAACUCGUACUAGUACUGAUAGAAGAAAUGGCCCCAUGUUUAACAAUCAUGUAACUGAAUUGGCCUUUACUGAAUAGAGCACCCAUUUGUGCAGACACAUAAAUGCCAUUGGGUCCUCCUACUGCUCCUACAACAUACUUUGGUGUCGAAUUCCGGUUCCCUGUCCCUCCUCCUAAAGGCCUCGGGCGCCAUCCAGUGCGCAGUCCCAUCAGCCUGGUUGCACUUCCCUGUCUGUGGGUCCAGGUCCCAGCAGAGUCCGAAAUCGACUGAAAUGACAGAUUAAACAUAUAAAUGGAAAAUUCACUUUUAAGGGUGAAAACCCUGUAUUAUGAUACCCUCUGUACUUUAUUUUUACAGCUUCCCCCCCUAUAAACUAUAAGUUUUACUCACUGAGUUUGAUGUUCCCCUUCUUGGUGAGCAUCACGUUGGGGCUCUUGAUGUCCCUGUGAACGGCCCGGUGGUGGUGAACGUGGUGGAGAGCCUGUGGAGAUUGAGAUACAUAGCCAAUCCAGGUCUCCUUCAGGGAUUGGCCUUCGGUGCUGUCGAUCAGGUCGUACAGGGAGCCGCCGCUGCAGUACUCAAGGACAAGCUGCAAUAGGAAGGAAUGAUUUCAGGCCGUAUACUCCGAUGACUCCUCGUUUGGAGCAGGGUGGUGAUAAGCUCCAUAGUAAGAGGCGAUGUUCCUGUGCCUGCUGAACUUCAGGAGAAAGUUUACCUCUCGGCAGACUGACUCCUCAUCCUGGAGAGGAAAAAUAGAAACCCUUUAGCUCACAUAGGCAGCCACACAAUAGGGAUGAUAUGGAGAAAGGAACUAUAAAGAAACCUUACCCGAGUGAUGUUGGCCAUCUUGACGGCUACCUUACCUCUGCGAUGGUGAUGGCCCUGUAACACACACAGAAAGGUGUAACUGACAUUCAGUAUUAGCUGGAAAUAUAAAGACUCAUAUAGGGAACAAAAUGACAGAAAUAUUGAGUUAUUAAGAAAUGGAAAAUGUGCAUAGCAGGGAUAGUGGUAGCACUUUCAACUUGCUUUCAGCUACCCCUGCUCUCUAGGAAUUUGGUUGGUCCCUUACCAUGAACACGGCUCCAGUGCCGCCCUCUCCGAUUUGCGUCUCCUUGGUCAGCCGACCAUCAGGAGGCUGGGAAAAAUAGAUAAAUAGAAUUAACAGGGGAUUUUAUUGAUAACAUAAUAUUCCACGAGGUAAAAAAUAUGUAUUAACUACAAUUUUGGGUAGACCGGAAGGAGACUUUUGGGAAGGAGGGGCAUGAGAAACACAUGAAAGACAGAGGCAAUUGGAAGGUGUGAGGUUCAUAAAACUGGGGGGGCAUCACCAAACCAACACCCAAAUUCUAUGCUCAAGUCUAGCAGCCCCUACAGGGGCUUUCUACUCACCUUAUACAUUUCGGAGAGGCAUCCGGAUUCAGCCGGCCGCUGAGGGAAAAGUAAAAGAUUCUGUUACUUUAAAGGGACAUUAUUAGGCCCAACACUUGCUGAGUAACAAAAUGGCAAAAUGGAGGAAGGAAUGAAGGAACUGUCUGAUAAAGUGUCUGAUUCUGGGAUAAAUUGGCCCCAUAUAGAACCAGAUAUUUAUUCAGGCUCAUUAAAGAGCCCCAUAUGGGCAGAACACUGCUCUGUGUGUCACUGAAUGGGUUAACAUUUUAUACUUUACACCAAAACCCUUGAGUCAAAUGAAAUCCAUAGCAGGAGCCUUACCUUCCUCCGGGGGGCGCAGAAUGGCAUUGCGCCCUAGUGGUUUUGCUCUUAAAAGAGCAGUUGGGUUUAGAAAAAAGAAAAAUAUCAGCUGAUGUCAAUGGAAGAUGGUUUUUCCAAAGAGAAGCUGAAAAAAUCACAAAGUCGCUGAUUAUCGCAAGAAAAUCGCCUUGAAGACGCCUGGAAAUCGCUUUCUCGCACAGAAUUUCACUUUAUGUGGAAACAGAAAUGAAGAAGAGAUUUUAAGUUCCAUGGUCCGGCCCUCUCUGCUAUACAGAUCAGGAUACACUGCAUUAUAUUCACAGUAUUCCCCCCUGACCAAUCCACCCUUUUAAUAAAAAAAAAAUCAAA